rnacentral:rRNA from 1 species
CCUACGGGAGGCUGCAGUGGGGAAUAUUGGACAAUGGGCGAAAGCCUGAUCCAGCCAUGCCGCGUGUGUGAAGAAGGCCUUCGGGUUGUAAAGCACUUUCAGUGGGGAAGAAAGCCUAGGGGCUAAUACCCUCGAGGAAGGACAUCACCCACAGAAGAAGCACCGGCUAACUCCGUGCCAGCAGCCGCGGUAAUACGGAGGGUGCGAGCGUUAAUCGGAAUUACUGGGCGUAAAGCGCGCGUAGGCGGUCUGAUAAGCCGGUUGUGAAAGCCCCGGGCUCAACCUGGGAACGGCAUCCGGAACUGUCAGGCUAGAGUGCAGGAGAGGAAGGUAGAAUUCCCGGUGUAGCGGUGAAAUGCGUAGAGAUCGGGAGGAAUACCAGUGGCGAAGGCGGCCUUCUGGACUGACACUGACGCUGAGGUGCGAAAGCGUGGGUAGCAAACAGGAUUAGAUACCCUGGUAGUC